UGGGGAAUUUUGGACAAUGGGCGAAAGCCUGAUCCAGCAAUGCCGCGUGUGUGAAGAAGGCCUUCGGGUUGUAAAGCACUUUUGUUCGGGAAGAAAAGGACUGGGCUAAUAUCCUGGUCUGAUGACGGUACCGGAAGAAUAAGCACCGGCUAACUACGUGCCAGCAGCCGCGGUAAUACGUAGGGUGCAAGCGUUAAUCGGAAUUACUGGGCGUAAAGCGUGCGCAGGCGGUUUGUUAAGACAGAUGUGAAAUCCCCGGGCUUAACCUGGGAACUGCAUUUGUGACUGGCAAGCUAGAGUAUGGCAGAGGGGGGUGGAAUUCCGCGUGUAGCAGUGAAAUGCGUAGAUAUGCGGAGGAACACCGAUGGCGAAGGCAGCCCCCUGGGCCAAUACUGACGCUCAUGCACGAAAGCGUGGGGAGCAAACA
rnacentral:rRNA from 1 species